rnacentral:rRNA from 1 species
CCUACGGGAGGCAGCAGUGAGGAAUAUUGGUCAAUGGGCGAGAGCCUGAACCAGCCAAGUCGCGUGAAGGAUGACGGCCCUACGGGUUGUAAACUUCUUUUGUCAGGGAGCAAUUGAGUCCACGUGUGCUCUUAUCGAGAGUACCUGUAGAAAAAGCAUCGGCUACCUCCGUGCCACCAGCCGCGGUAUUAGGGGGGAUGCGAGCGUUAUCCGGAUUUAUGGGGUUUAAAGGGUGCGUAGGCGGAAUAUCAAGUCAGCGGUAAAAAUUCGGGGCUCAACCCAGUCGUGCCGUUGAAACUGAUGGUCUUGAGUGGGCGAGAGGUAUGCGGAAUGCGUGGUGUAGCGGUGAAAUGCAUAGAUAUCACGCAGAACUCCGAUUGCGAAGGCAGCAUACC